UCCUCAGAAAGCCAGGAAAUUCGGAGCCU
rnacentral:piRNA from 1 species